CUUCAUCCCGCACAAAAAUUUCUCCCCAAGAGGGUUAGGGCUCACAAAUCACCAUUAGCGUCGCAGAGGUAAGCCGAGUCGAGUCUAAGAGGUUGCAUCCGCCGUCAUCACAGCCGAUUCUGUCUGAGCUUCGCGACCUCUGCGAACUUAGCUUCUUCAUCACCAUCACUACUCCUACUCUUUGGUUUAAGGGGUUUAGUUUUUAAGGAACAUCAAGGGCGUUCACUUUGGAAAAUUUGCCACCAACAAACAGGUUUUAGUUUGAAUUGGAAAGUUGUGUGACUUUCUCAAAUCCCAAUAUCAUCAGUACACUGAGAUCUACAAAUUCAGGGAACUUUCUGGUUUUCUGGUUUUUACUUCUUAAAUGGAGAAUUCUUGUGACGUCUGUGGAAGCGUCGCGCAUCAAUCGAAUCGUUGCUCAAACAUUUUUGCUCGUUGUAGUAUCUGCCAAAGUGUUGCACAUCAAACUGGUGUGUGUCCAUUAAUUUUUGAUUGCUGCAAUAUAUGUUCAAGUUCUGAGCAUAAAACAUGUUCUUGUCCAUUAUAUACACCUGAGAAUUUAUCCAAAUACUUGUGUAGAGCUUGCAAAAGAGGCAUAUAUCCUACAUGUUUUUGCCAAAUCAUCUCUGAUACCUGUAGUAUAUGUGGAAGCAUUAUGCAUCAAACUGAUGCCUGUCCAAUCAUUUUUCCUUGCUGUGAUAUAUGUUCAAGUUCUAAGCAUCCAACAUGUUCUUGUCCGUUAUAUGCACCUGGGAAUUUUACAUCCAAAUACUUGUGUAGAGUUUGCUCCGGAAGACUACAUCCUACAUGUAUAUGUCCUUAUUAUGGUCCUCAUUAUGAUCAACAAAAGGGUAAAGCUCGAGACAAUGAAGUGGUAGUGGCACCAAAUGAGGAAUCAAGUGAAGUUAGAAAAUAAGUAAAUUCUUCUAGAGGACAACUUAAUUCCUGCAUAUUGAUCUCUAAAAGGAUGUGGACAAAACCACCAAUAGCUCCUUUCUGGUGUUUUCUUUUUAGUUUUUAUUUUUUUUAUCAUAUAUAUUAAUAUAUUAUGUACAAGAUUGGCACUUCUCAUUCUAUAGUAUUUUAAAAGAUGCUGAACAGCACUCCUUCUACGGGAGCCUUCAAAAAGUUGUUCUUUCAUGUUAAAUUAGUGAAGGAGAAUGAAAGAAUCAUGAUGCCAUUAAUUGGAAAGUGGUAACAUGACCAACUUUGUUA